rnacentral:rRNA from 1 species
UACGUAGGGGGCCAGCGUUGUCCGGAAUCAUUGGGCGUAAAGCGCGCGUAGGCGGCCCGGUAAGUCCGCUGUAAAAGUCAAAGGCUCAACCUUUGAAUGUCAGUGGAUACUGCCGGGCUAGAGUCCGGAAGAGGCGAGUGGAACUCCUGGUGUAGCGGUGGAAUGCGCAGAUAUCAGGAAGAACACCGACGGCGAAGGCAGCUCGCUGGGACGGUACUGACGCUGAGGCGCGAAAGCGUGGGGAGCGAACAGG